rnacentral:rRNA from 1 species
AGUGAGCGCUGGCGGUAGGCCUAACACAUGCAAGUCGAACGGCAGCACAGUAAGAGCUUGCUCUUACGGGUGGCGAGUGGCGGACGGGUGAGGAAUACAUUGGAAUCUACUUUUUCGUGGGGGAUAACGUAGGGAAACUUACGCUAAUACCGCAUACGACCUACGGGUGAAAGCAGGGGAUCUUCGGACCUUGCGCGAUUGAAUGAGCCGAUGUCGGAUUAGCUAGUUGGCGGGGUAAAGGCCCACCAAGGCGACGAUCCGUAGCUGGUCUGAGAGGAUGAUCAGCCACACUGGAACUGAGACACGGUCCAGACUCCUACGGGAGGCAGCAGUGGGGAAUAUUGGACACUGGGCGCAAGCCUGAUCCAGCCAUACCGCGUGGGUGAAGAAGGCCUUCGGGUUGUAAAGCCCUUUUGUUGGGAAAGAAAAGCAGCAGGUUAAUACCCCGCUGUUCUGACGGUACCCAAAGAAUAAGCACCGGCUAACUUCGU